rnacentral:lncRNA from 1 species
AUGAGAUUGGUAAAAAGUACAGCUUCAGUGGCAGAGAGAUUAGUGAUGUCAUUUUACUGUGAUGUCAUGGUAACCCAUGAUGUCACAAUGGUCUGCAAAGUAUUGUGAUGCAAUUUCAUUGUAGUCAUAUCUCCUUGAAUAGAUCACUUGAUCUCACCAAAGUAAUAUCUCCAGUGGAAGCCUGAUUUGGAUGAUAAAUCUUAUUCUUAAUCCAGAAAAUCUGCUCAUAUUUUCACUAUAUAUAUGUCUUUGUAUUGAGAUUUUGUUAUUUCAUAAUUCCAGAGGUUUUGGGUAUUCAAUUACUGUGCCCUUCAGACAUGUCCGUAGAUAGAAGUAUAUAUAUAUUAUUUAUUUAUAAUGUCUUUUUUAGUUUUUUUAUUGGUUUCCCCAAAGACUUGUUUGAUUUAGGUUAUUAAUAUUGAUAAUAUGAGCAAGGUAAAUUUUAAAAAUAUAUUUCAAAACAGGUGUGGCUACGUUUUAAAGGGAAUAUGGAACAGAUACCAAAUGUGUCUCUUCCAUUAUUUCUUGUGUAAGUAUCCUCAACUUAACAGGCCCUGCUGACUCUAUGAAUCUGAAUUCUGUUGAAUCAGUUUCUGUCAAAACAUAAAUACUUACAUUCUGUUAAUAUGAAAGCUACAUUUUAGCCAAUGUUUAUGUAUAUGUCUGUUUUUCCUAUUGGACACAAAAUCAUGAUUUUAUUACAAGUAUUCCAUAGCAUUCUUGUCAUAUAUAAUAGAUUAUCUACAAAGUCAGUCAACCGCUAGUUAAAAUCAUUAAUCUAUAUUUACCACCCAUCUUUAAUCUAUAUUUACCACCCAUCUUUAGUCUGUAUUUACCACCCCCAUCUUUAGUCUGUAUUUACCACCCCCAUCUUUAGUCUGUAUUUGCCACCCAUUUUUAAUCUAGAUUUACCACCCAUCUUUAAUCUAGAUUUACCACCCAUCUGUAAUCUAGAUUUACCACCCAUCUUCAAUUCAUAUUUACCACCCAUCUUUAAUCUAUAUUUACCACCCAUCUUUAAUCUGUAUUUACCACCCCCAUCUUUAAUCUAUAUUUACCACCCAUCUUUAAUUCAUAUUUACCACCCAUCUGUAAUCUGUAUUUACCACCCAUCUUUAAUCUAGAUUUACCACCCAUCUUUAAUUCAUAUUUACCACCCAUCUGUAGUCAAGAUUUACCAUCCAUCUUUAAUCUAGAUUUACCACCCUUCUUUAAUCUAGAUUUACCAUCCAUCUUUAAUCUAUAUUUACCACCCAUCUUUAAUCUAUAUUUACCACCCUUCUUUAAUCUAGAUUUACCACCCAUCUUUAAUCUAGAUUGAAACUGACAUUUACAAUUCAUCAUCCUGACAUAACAAAGCAUGGUCCUGUGUACAGUGAACAGGUCACAGCUCAAGGAAAGUUUAUCAACGUCGGUCUCCAAGAGUAGAUGGAUGGGUGAUCAUGGUCGACAGCUUGCUUCCUAAAAGUUUCAGAGCUUUGGCCUCAAGCACAUGUAUCAACUGUGGUGUUUCUUUUGGCAAGUGCAUCAUUCUAAAUAUGUGUCUGUUCACCCACCAGUAAAUGGGUACCCGGUAGGAUGAGAUGGUCAAGUGUCUGGUAACCUAGCUCUUCACAGGCAGCUUGGUUUGUCUGAAGCAUGGUGCACACUGGGCAGAGACCUUGAAAUAGAUCUAUUUUUAUGGUGUAUGGAGAGUGGUAAUAGUAAGUAAGAGCUGUCAAGAUCUUAGCAGACUUUAGCAGAUAUGUAAGAAAGUGAGAUAUGCAGUUUCAUGAUAUAUAAUAUAUUAAUCGGUUCUUUAGAAAUUAAGAAUCCAAGAAAGAGAAAAGAUAAUACUCAUAUACAUCACAAAAUAAAAUUCACCAAAUGUUCUUGAUUAUGGGGCUCUCAACCACACUGACUAUUUGACAGGAAUAACAUCUAGCGGUUGACGGUAACCUCUGUGACAUCCCUGGGCAUAAUGACACAAACUGUCUCACCUCACCUCACUGGCAUGAGGAGGUUAUUUCUUACAAGGAUUUUAUUACACAACGAAACUAUCUUUUCAGAUGUGAAAUCAAUUGUGACUGCUACUCAAUACGCUAUGCAACAAUUAUCAUCCAACUAUAUUUUGUAUCUUAUAUAUAUAAUGUUGAAACUAUUUAAAAUAUUUUGUAUUAUGCUUUUCUGUUGAUAAGGUGCACAUGUUUUUGAAAAGUAUUUGUAAUGUUUGUAUUAAUAUCGUACAUUUUUGAAUAUUUUUCUAAUUUUCAUCGUUCAUGUUCGAAUUAGAAAUCACAUGUGUGAUCUUGCUAUGUACAGUGAAACUGUGUUAAGCCUUGCAUUCAGGACUGCCAUAGAGAACUUCAUCUCGGGUACACAAUGUAUAUCCUGCUGUAUUGCAUUUGUUUAUUCAGAUGAUUUCCGUGACGAUUUCAGUUUUUGCAUUCCAUUACAAAACAAUUUCUGAGUGCGCUAGGAAAUUACAUAGAGAAGGUGUGUCUGACAUAGAGAUGGUGUGUCUGACAUGGAAAAGGUGUGUCUGACAUGGAGAUGACCUGUCCCACAUUGAGAUGGUGUUUCCACAUACAGAGGGUGUCUCCCACAUAGAGAGGGUGUGUCUGACAUAGAAAAGGUGUGUCUGACAUAGAGAAGGUGUGUCUGACAUAGAGAAGGUGUGUCUGACAUGGAAAAGGUGUGUCUGACAUAGAGAAGGUGUGUCUGACAUAGAAAAGGUGUGUCUGACAUAGAGAAGGUGUGUCUGACAUAGAGAAGGUGUGUCUGACAUAGAGAAGGUGUGUCUGACAUAGAGAAGGUGUGUCUGACAUAGAGAAGGUGUGUCUGACAUAGAGAAGGUGUGUCUGACAUUGAGAAGGUGUGUCUGACAUAGAGAUGUGUCUGACAUAGAGAAGGUGUGUCUGACAUGGAGAAGGUGUGUCUGACAUAGAGAAGGUGUGUCUGACAUGGAGAAGGUGUGUCUGACAUGGAGAAGGUGUGUCUGACAUGGAGAAGGUGUGUCUGACAGAGAGAAGGUGUGUCUGACAUGGAGAAGGUGUGUCUGACAGAGAGAAGGUGUGUCUGACAUGGAGAAGGUGUGUCUGACAUGGACAAGGUGUGUCUGACAUGGAGAAGGUGUGUCUGACAUGGACAAGGUGUGUCUGACAUAGAGAGGGUGUGUCUGACAUGGAGAUGGUGUGUCCCACACAGACAGUGUAUCAGACCAAGUGACAGUGUGUCUAUCAUAGAAACAGUAUGACAUUGAGCAGAUGUGUCUGACAUAGAGACGGUGUUUCCACAUACAGAGGGCGUCUCCCACAUACACGCUGCAUCACCCACUAAGAGAGGGCAUCUCUCACACAGAGAAGGUGUGUCCGACGGUUAUGUUUCUAGUCCUGGACAUGGUGCGAGAUCCUUUUCACGUGUUUCCCGGUUUUGUUUGUAAAUUUGAAGGUCGUCUAACGAUGACAAAGGUGUACCAUAUAUAUAAUGCAUGUUACGUCAUGUUUUGUUGAUGAUAAACUUGUUUUGUCUUCAAUUUGCUCUCUAUGGUGUCUGUCACUGUACAUACAUGUCAUUGUUUGUUCCAUGUCAUGUUUAUGCUAUUGUUAUCGUUAUUCUUCCAUUGCUUGUGGAAAACCGUCACAUUUUGACCUGUUAUUCAUUGAAGAAUGAGAACAGAGCUUCAGAAAUAUCAAGUAAAUGUUGCUGUUUGUUAGAUUUUACAUAUAAAUAAAUAUGACAAGCUGAUUUUCAGAAUUCAUGUGUAUAGCAUAUUUCGGUCGUAAAACUUUAUCAGUAUUAUGUUUAUCGAUUUUUUAAUGCUUAUGCCCAGAUUAUUUGUGAUAAAUGUACAGCUAAUUCAAUAAUUAUGUUAGAAUCACUCUUCAGCAACACAUGCUUGCCGUAAGAGGCCACUAUGCUUGUCAUACGAGGGGCUAGCGAUAUCGGGUGGUCAGGCUCGCUGACUUGGUUGAUGCGUGUCAUCGCAUCCCAAUUGUAUAGAUCAAUGUUCAUGAUGUAAAUCACUGGAUUGUCUGGUCCAGACUUGAUUAUUUACAACCCGCUGUUGUAUAGCUGGAAUAUUGCUGAGUGCGACAUUAAACAACAAAGAAACAUAAACGUAUACUGCAAGAAAUUAGUAAUUCUCCCAAACAUGUCACAUGACCUAACUUGAUCUGCAUUGGCAGAACUGUUGAUGACCCCCCUAGAUUAGACUCUUCCAAUGUUGUAAGUAUUGGCCCAGUACUAUAGAGCUGUUGAAGUGUAUUUGUUGGAGAAGUCACAAGACGUUGAGUUUAAUGUGUGGCUCACAAAUGUUAUUUUGUACAUUCCUGGUUGCUAAUAUUGAUUGUUUCACAAGUUAUUACAUUGCUGAAAGUUUAUUAUUCAUAUAUUUAAAGGCUUUUGUUUGUUCUGGGGCUUAUUUCUUCACAGCAUGUGUAAGAAGACAGGGCCUUUCACAAAGAUUGAUGUUCAAACAACAAAAAGAAAGAAAUAAAUAACACUCCUAUUACCUACAUUCCACUAUAAGACCAGACAAUUUACUUGCUUCUUUUACAGACUCUCUCUCUCUCUCUCUCUCUCUCUCUCUCUCUCUCUCUCUCUCUCUCUCUCUCUCUCCAUAAUAAAAUAACAUAACAUUAUAAAUUGACACGUGCAUAUUUUCUUGUGUAAAAAAAAACAAAAGUGAAGUAGGUAGGAUAUUUCACAUCUUCUCAAGGCAAGGGCGUUUAAAACAGACUUUAAAAGUCCAUUUUCCACUCUUGACGAACAAGGCUGGAAUUUCUGGCGGCGCCCAGUAAAGACGAUCUGAUCAAUAAUAGAGAUCUAUUUUGAAAUGAAACAGGCUUUACCUUGCAAAGUGAAUCAAAUCGCUUGACCACCUAAAUUAAAACAUGAAAAGAUUUGGAAAAUAUGUGUCGACGCCCCGUUUACGGUACACAUGUUCUGCAAAUCCUGCAAUCGAAUUUCAGCACUGCAUGUGCCACGUUGUUUAGGAACCAGGGUGUCGAUAUCAUUAAGGGCUUUUGAUUGGACUAUGCAUAGACUUGUGGAAACUGAACUUUUAGAGUCGGUUAACCACUUUGCCCCUGGAAGAUGGAUUUUCCAUUAGAUUGCACUGCGUGUGUUCAUGAAGUCAUAUUGUGUUUUGUUAUGUCAGCAUAUUGUCUUCUGUUGCCCAUAUUAUGUAGACAUCUUAGUAUUUUGUGGCAUGGUAUUAUCAUUUCAAUUUUUGUAGGUCAACUUUGUAGGCAGCACUGUCUAAUAUAUAACAAAACAUUCCAAUAAUUUGUCAUGAGAUUUAUAAAUAUUUUUCACCAACUAAAAAUAUAUUUAGAUGACACAAUGAAAUGAAGGGGAUUUCAACUUUCAUUAGUUUGAUUAAUCAAAAAGUUUUAGAAAAUUGAAUCACACUGUUUUACAUCUCUAAGUUUUGUUAUUUCUUGUGUUUACUGUUCAUUUUGAAAUAUUUUUUGUUAUCAAUUAGGCAUUGGCCGUGUAUGCUUUUUUCAAAACAUGCUUUUGUUUGAUUUCUGUUUGUAUUCAGUGAAUGGGAUAAGGGCAAUGUUUUCGUUUAGCUCCCACGGAACACAAGGUCGAAGUGAGCUUAUCACAUGUCUUGUCCAUCCGGCUGUCUGUUUAUCUGUUUACUUCUUUCACUGAAGGAAUCCAGCACCAGAGUGGGACUUAGAUGAGGGUCCUGGUUGGGAGGGUUGGUGGGAGGGGGAGGUUACACUGUUAAUAACUUAAACUUAAAAUAACAGUCACAAACGUAAGAUGAGUCAAAGCCUAUCAUCAAAGAUUAAUUUAAAAUGGUGGUUCAGUCCAAUGAGGACACAUGAGACCAAUCUGAUUCUCAUGUAAUCAAUUUAUUGUGGCCAAAGUAUGGCAGAUCUUGAAGUAUUAAUUAUUAAAAUACUCUCCUGAUUCUCAGGACAAGAGACAUAAUAUUUAUCUUUCCAUAUAAAGCGAGUUAUGAUUUAGUGGUUAUAAGAAAAAUAUGUGCCAUAUAUUUUGUCUAAGUUUUGUUCACACUUAGUGCCAUAUUUGGGCAAUAGUCCAUUUUCCAGUUUGAAAGAGAUCUACAAUUCUAACUGUGCUAACAUGCAAGACAGAACAUGUUGUCCUUUCAAAAUGGCCUCCAUUCUGUACCCGUCUGCACUUUGCUUGACUCUCUUUCUGUCAGUAACCAGCUUUUUUUGGAGGAUGUAGACUAUGUUUAUCAAGACAGGAGCCAUUUUGUCCUCAAGCAUGUUCAGGUGGAGGAGAAUAGUCAACAUUCAAAAGUAAUUUCCGGUGUUGUCCAUCAUGGCUUAGGCUAAAAAGAAUAAAAGUCUUGGUUCUCAGGCACCACCUACAUCAUAAAAUUCUUUUUUAUUCCAUUUUCAAAAAAAAAAAAAAAAAGCCCAAAGGUAGUCAAAUAGUGUAUUCCAGUAUUUUACUCAUCAAGGAAUACAUUUAUGUAGCGAGGCCUUUUCCCAGGUUGAUUGUACACAAUUGUUACAUACUAGUUUACAAGCACACACACACACACACACAGAGAAAAAAACCACUUGUCCGCAUUAUAUUUUCAAGAACUAUUGCUUGAGAACCUAUUCUUUUAUUUUUUUAAGCCUAAAGAGAUUAUAAAACUUUUGAUUAGGUUAUAGAUGUAUAUCGUCAUUAAAUUAUCACCUUAAUUUGAAAGGAUACAUAUUAGCUUGAUGAAGAUUGACAAAUUUCUCUAUCCUUGGUUCCGCUGAAAUAUUUCAUUGGAGUCUAUUACUUGUUAAGUAUCAUUUAAUAUGUUGUACACAAACUAUUUAUACCUUAUAUGAUCAUGAUCAAGAUUUUAAUUGUUUCAGUUAAAAUUAAUCAUUGUUAAUUAGACAUCGUCAUUAAACAUAGAAUUUGUUUGGUGAGAAUGAAUGAAAACUUGUUGGUAUUUUUCUUAGUGCCCGGUUUACUAUUUUGAUAAGAAAUUUAUCACAUAUUUUCCACACAGCACAAUCAAUGUCAAUAUGUUAGGAUAUUUUUACUGUGUCCAAUAGACCAACCACAGUUUUGCUACCUGUUGUUAAUAUUUGUUAAUCAUUCUAAUAAAUGAAACAGCAUAUUUCA